rnacentral:rRNA from 1 species
UGCAAGUCGAGCGGAUGAGAAGAGCUUGCUCUUCGAUUCAGCGGCGGACGGGUGAGUAAUGCCUAGGAAUCUGCCUGGUAGUGGGGGACAACGUUUCGAAAGGAACGCUAAUACCGCAUACGUCCUACGGGAGAAAGCAGGGGACCUUCGGGCCUUGCGCUAUCAGAUGAGCCUAGGUCGGAUUAGCUAGUUGGUGAGGUAAUGGCUCACCAAGGCGACGAUCCGUAACUGGUCUGAGAGGAUGAUCAGUCACACUGGAACUGAGACACGGUCCAGACUCCUACGGGAGGCAGCAGUGGGGAAUAUUGGACAAUGGGCGAAAGCCUGAUCCAGCCAUGCCGCGUGUGUGAAGAAGGUCUUCGGAUUGUAAAGCACUUUAAGUUGGGAGGAAGGGCAUUAACCUAAUACGUUAGUGUUUUGACGUUACCGACAGAAUAAGCACCGGCUAACUCUGUGCCAGCAGCCGCGGUAAUACAGAGGGUGCAAGCGUUAAUCGGAAUUACUGGGCGUAAAGCGCGCGUAGGUGGUUUGUUAAGUUGGAUGUGAAAGCCCCGGGCUCAACCUGGGAACUGCAUCCAAAACUGGCAAGCUAGAGUACGGUAGAGGGUGGUGGAAUUUCCUGUGUAGCGGUGAAAUGCGUAGAUAUAGGAAGGAACACCAGUGGCGAAGGCGACCACCUGGACUGAUACUGACACUGAGGUGCGAAAGCGUGGGGAGCAAACAGGAUUAGAUACCCUGGUAGUCCACGCCGUAAACGAUGUCAACUAGCCGUUGGAAUCCUUGAGAUUUUAGUGGCGCAGCUAACGCAUUAAGUGAACGCUUGGGGACGC